rnacentral:rRNA from 1 species
GAUGAACGCUGGCGGCGUGCCUAAUACAUGCAAGUCGAGCGAAUGGAUUGAGGGCUUGUUCUUUUGAAGUUAGCGGCGGACGGAUGAGUAAUACAUAAAUCAGCUGCCCAUCUGACUGGGAUAAUAAAUGGACACGAUAUCUAAUACUGGCGAGGAUGAUCGGAGGCAUCAGUGAUGGAUUCAAGAAGGAUUUCUAUACAAAUGCAUGAGCUUAUGGCGGAUUAAUUAGUUGGUGGGGUAACGGCCUACCAAGACGAUGAUGCGUAGCCGACCUGAGAGGGUGACCGGCCACACUGGGACUGAGACACGGCCCAGACUCCUACGGGAGGCAGCAGUAGGGAAUUUUCGGCAAUGGGCGAAAGCCUGACCGAGCAACGCCGCGUGAGUGAUUAAGGCCUUCGGGUUGUAAAGCUCUGUUGUAAGGGAAGAACAUUCAGGAUAGGAAAUGAUCUUGAAAUGACGGUACCUUACCAGAAAGCCACGGCUAACUACGUGCCAGCAGCCGCCGUAA